GUCUGGUGCAGGUUAUGAAUCCAAGAGUUCAUGGGAAAUCAGGAAGAUGGAACGCUUGGGUGAGCCUACACCACGGCUCAGAGAGUCUGGAUAUUGAACGCUGGAAAAGAAGUCCGUGAGGGACAGGUAGGAAAAUGGGGCCACGAGGAAGGCUCCCCCGGUGUCUUUACAUUAGCUCAGCAGACUGCACGGCAAUGCUUGUGGUAGGCACGGCCUGCGAGUUGGACAGCAGUCCCACCACCAGAGCUGGUUGUGGCUGAAACAGUAGAGUAAACCAAGUCUGCCUUUUGUGUUCUCCUCCUAACUCUUCUUCUGCGCGAGGCCUCUGGUGAAGGGGCUUCCUGGACCCAAGGCCCCCUGUGGUGCAUGAAUGCACACCUGAGCAGCCCACCUCUCUGAGGAGCCUAACAGCAAAAUGACCUUCACAGGAAGAAGAUAGGAAAGCUCCGGCCUGCAUCGUGCUAAUGGGGGGCCCUGGAGCGAUCGGCAGUCACUAACCUGAAGAGGUUGUGCUGGUAACUAUGUUCAGCCUGAGACCCGGGAGAUGAAGUAAAGGCCUGACACGUUCAUUUCGGUCCUAAAUCAAUAGCAAAACUAGCUGCACGGCUUGAUUACUUGAAACAUUAUUUCUAAAUUGUAAUCAUUCCAGGGUAUUUAUGUUCUCUAAAAUGCACACUAUGACUGAACUCAAAGGCUUAACUGUCUUCAGUUUGUGAUUGCAGCACAGAGAGGAGAUGAAGAACAGUGGGAAACAUCACAGAGAAAUACAAUAUUUUUGCCUUGUGCACAGACUAGCUAAGUUUUCAGCUGAAGAUUUUUUUUUUCAUUUCACUCAAGUCAAUAAUCAUUUACCCACUGGAUAUUGCUUAAAGCAGAGUUUUCAUCUAAUUCUCAUAUAACAAGAUUGAAAAGGAAAAACUAAAUAAUAAUACCUCAUUUGUGUAUAGGACUUGUCUUUCAAAGAAGACAUCAUAACCCACUUUAUACUAUCUAAUUUACAGUGGCAACACUUUUAUAAUGUAAAUACUAGUAAGGGCUAUUAUCAUGUUACAAAUUAUGCACAAAGGAAACUGAGGUAGUAUGUGGGAAAGAAAUGACUGGUUCAAUGUAACUCCCAUUUGAGAGGUGUAAUA